CUCUGUUUCUCUCUCCUUUGAUAUAUAAAAUUUUGAGAGAAGAUAAUUAGAAAAGAUUGUAUUUUUAUUAAGGGAAAUUAAAGAAAGAAUCAGAAUUAUCAGCCAUGGAAUCAAGAUUCAAUCGAAUUUGUGUCUUCUGUGGAAGCAGCCCUGGCAAGAACCCAAGUUAUCAACUUGCUGCUACUCAACUUGGACAAGAACUUGUCACGAGGAACAUCGACUUGGUUUAUGGUGGAGGAAGCAUCGGUUUAAUGGGUUUGGUUUCUCAAGCCGUCUUUGAUGGUGGCCGUCAUGUUUUGGGGGUGAUUCCAAAACCACUGAGAGAGGUAAUCCAUUCAUUUUGGUCCU